ACGCUGCGAGCUCCUCCACGUAAUUUCCCAGCUGCUGAUAAAGCUAGUUGAAUAAUGCUGCAGUCCUUUGGAGACACCAUUUACAGAAAUGACUUUAUUGACGGCUUAACGUCGGUCAGGAGUUUGGAAGUAAAUUGAGCUAUAAAGAUCAGUUAUUAUUGUUGGGGGUUUUGAACAAAAACCCUUUCUUGCUGGUUUCCAAUGGACUGACUGGAGCCAUCCAGUCCAUCUGUUCCUGCAAGUUUCCCCCCCACAUCAGAACCCCCCUACCUUGCUGAGGGCAGCACGAGGCACCUGGCUCGGCUGCUUUAGAAAGUAACAGCUACCACUGGAAAUGCUUCUCCAUCGAUUGCGCAAGAAGGAAUACAUCCGAGGGAGCACCAUGGUCCCGAAAGGUGGCGUUCCCCAGCCCAAUCCGCCUCACCGAGAGUCUGUUUUAAUGUACCCUGCACGUGCCUUUCUCCAUAUUGUGUCAGAUACUUUGGUCCCAUCGCUAAAUACAUUAUAAAUACUGGCUUAAAGUUUUAGCUUGAU